rnacentral:rRNA from 1 species
AUGUCCAUGGGAGUUGCAGGGAUUAGAAUUCACGACAUGAUGGAUUCCCUCAUCAGCAAACAUGUAUGGUAUGGCGGUGUUGGUUUUACCAGGCGUGAAAUAUACAACCUUUGCGCCAGGGAGAAGAGGAAGCUGCUUUCAAAAGGUGAUGCUGCCACAGCCAUAGGCCUGAUGGCCAGUAGGAAACAGAGGGAUCCUAGCUUCUUUUGUGAGUACAUGCUAGAUAAGGAAGGACACUUGAAUAGGAUGUUCUGGUGUGACUCCCGGUCUCGUCAUGACUAUGAGGACUUCAGCGACGUGCUUGUAUUUGGCAGCACGUACAAGAUGAACUGCUAUGGUAUGCCAUUCAUACCUUUUGUUGGUCUUAACAAUCACGGGAAGACCACUGUUUUUGGUUGUGCCAUAGUUUCGGACGAGACCGAACACACAUACGUGUGGCUGCUGCAGACUUUUUUGAGGUCCAUGUGUCAAAAGAUGCCGAAGAGUGUAAUCACAGACGCCGACGCUGCGAUCAUCAAGGCAAUUCGGGAAGUCUUUCCAGACGUGUGUCACCGUAUAUACGGUAAAAUGACCCUGGUGGAUAUGAUUUUGCAUUAUGUGAACGCCGUUGUACGUAUCCGUGAAAACGAGGCACGAGAUGACUGCAUGGCCUCACAGAGUUUACCUGUGCCAGUUACUAGCUCGAGGGAACUUGAGAUAGCUGCUUCUCACGUCUUCACUCCAGCAAACUUCUAUAUGUUGCAAGAUGAUCUUAGAAAAAUUGAAGGCAUGGAGAUUGUAGAAAUUAAGAUGGGAGACGGAUCACAGCAGUACAUCGUGACCUGGAAGAAUAACCGGAAUAGCCAUUUUUGGGUGGAGUAUACACCAGUAAAUUCCGCAGAACCUAUACGGUGCAGCUACAUAAGAAUGAUUCAAAAAGGUCUACCUUGCAAGCACAUAUUCCAUGCACUGAAGUACUUGAACAUAUCUGAAAUACCAAAGUGUUUAGUUCUUGUUCGGUUCACUAAACAAGCAAGGUUGGGACUGCCCGCGAGGCGCAUAAGCGAUCUGUUGGGAUAUGGUUGGACUGGGGCAGAUGAAAGACUGAAAUAUAGCCAGGUUAGUGUGUUAGCGUCAGAAGCUAUGCAUGCGGCAUGCAAACACCCAGCUUUGUGGGAUCAGUUACAGGAGAGUUUGAAGACUAUGGUAGCUAAGUGUCAUGAGUAUGAUUUGCUACAGGGAAAUUUGAGCAAGAAUACAAAUGACUUCAGUAAGUGUGCAGUUGAAUAUGUAGACGAUGGUGAAGGCAACAUGGUCGCAGUUAAAGAUCCUAUGAAAGUGUCAAGCAAAGGUGCAACAAAGGUAGAUGAGAACCGCCCCAUCUCGAAAAAUGGUAGACCACUCUCUUUUGAUGAGUUGAAAACCCGGUGCGGCGCUUGCCAAUUGCUAGGACACACUAAACGUAGCAAGAAAUGCAAACUAAAUCAGAAAACAGUGGAGAAGGAAGAAGAGUAG